rnacentral:rRNA from 1 species
ACGUAGGUUGCGAGCGUUAUCCGGAUUUACUGGGCGUAAAGCGCUUGUAGGCGGUAAUAUAAGUUGGGCGUGAAACCUCUGGGCUUAACCCGGAGCAUGCGCACAAUACUGUAAUACUAGAGGGUGUCAGAGGAAAACGGAAUUCCCGGUGUAGUAGUGAAAUGCGUAGAUAUCGGGAGGAACAUCAGUGGCGAAGGCGGUUUUCUGGGACAUUACUGACGCUGAGAAGCGACAGCUAGGGGAGCAAACAGGAUUAGAAACCCUGGUAGUCCUAGCCGUAAACGAUGGAUGCUAGGCGUUGGCAGACUCAAUCCUGUCCGCGCCGAAGUUAACACGAUAAGCAUCCCGCCUGGGAAGUACGACCGCAAGGUUA